rnacentral:lncRNA from 1 species
GCUGUUCUCUCUAGGGUAGCCCCAAACCCUCCCCGUCCCUUGCAUGGCUUCCUGCUGUCACGCACCGUCCCUGCAGUAACUCGUGAUAACAGGUGGGGUGGGCCAGAGGUUGCUCUCGUUUGUGGUGCCCAUAGUCCCUGCAGUAGGCCGAGUUCUGAAAGGCUGAGGCAGUGUUGGAUCGUGUUGGCCACAUGGGAUGAUCAAACUCGGCAUGGAAUUCGUUUUUAGGAAGUGAGCGAGGAUACAUGUAAAUGAUAUCUGAUGAAAUAAUAUAACAUGGCUUAUUUAUGUACUGAAACGUGAAGGACGUCCAGAGUCAGCGAUUCCGCAGCAACCACGAGCACCUUGAUAUAUGUGCUCCCACCUUGAUUUAAAUGAGAUGGGUCUCGAUUCAGAGCACCCGUGGGAGGUGAAAUAAUAGAGAUCAAACAAGAUUUAACAGAAAUAUUAAGAUAGAAUUGGAUCAGGUAGUAACAAUAAUUAAGUAGCAGCAAGAAGAAGAAGAUACCUGAAGGAGAUUCUUUGCUAGGUCUAUGGAGACCAGUCCGGCGCUGCAGCCCAUUCCACCGAGGUUGUAGCUUAUGACGUCGCCCCUUAGCUUGUACCGGUUCACGAU